rnacentral:rRNA from 1 species
CCUACGGGGGGCUGCAGUCGAGACUCAUUCACAAUGGGGGAAACCCUGAUCUUGCGACGCCGCGUGGGGGAAUGAAGGUCUUCGGAUUGUAAACCCCUGUCAUGUGGGAGCAAAUUAAAAAGAUAGUACCACAAGAGGAAGAGCCGGCUAACUCUGUGCCAGCAGCCGCGGUAAUACAGAGGUGUCAAGCGUUGUUCGGAAUCACUGGGCGUGAAGCGUGCGUAGGCUGUUUCGUAAGUCGUGUGUGAAAGGCGCUGGCUCAACCCGCGGACGGCACAUGAUACUGCGAGACUAGAGUAAUGGAGGGGGAAGCGGAAUGCGCGGUGUAGCAGUGAAAUGCGUAGAUAUCGAGAGGAACACUCGUGGCGAAGGCGGGUUCCUGGACAUUAACUGACGCUGAGGCACGAAGGCCAGGGGAGCGAAAGGGAUUAGAUACCCUAGUAGUC